AGACUCACUUGUACAUGUGUGAAAUGACAACACUUCAGAGCCGCUCAGCUUAUAACAGCAAAAGCUUGGAAAUGGCCUGAAUGCCUAUCAAGAGGGCACUGGUUAAAGAAACGAUUGUCCCUCCAAACAACAGAAUUCUGUGCAGCAGACGGCGCCUGAGCGAUCUUUGAGAACUACUGCAGAUGCCUGGCCCAGCUCUGGCCCCAGUGCCACCUGCAUGCCAAGUGCUUCAUUAGCCGGGAAAGAAGACUCUCGCCCUCCUUCGUCUAAUCCUCGCCAGUAACCUUCAGGAGCCAGGCACCUUCUGACGUUGGGGGCCUGGGACGGUGCAAUCAUCAAUUACGCCAUGGCCUCCGCAGCUGUUCCCGGAUGGAUUUCUUGCUCAGAGAAGCGUGUUUGAAAAGCAUCUAAUGGAACGGAUCAUCAAUUUGUUUGAGUACACAUCUAAUCUGAUUAGGGGGGCACUGGCCACCAGGGCAGCUAGUGCAACUGAGCCUUGACAUGGCCCCAGGGAAUUGUAAGUGGGGUGGCGGGGCCAGUCUGGGGAAGGAGGGUUGUGUGCCCUGGGCCUGCCACCGAGCCCUCCUUGAGCUCAGCCCAUGGUACGUCCAGCCAAAAAAGUCACAGAGAAAAGCAGAACACAUCACACAGAUGCCAGGAGAGCUGGGCCUAUGCCUCCUGCUUUUCUAUAGCCCUGGCACUGGGCACAGAGCCUGGGACAAAGAAGAUGCUUGGGAAAUAUGUGGUGAAUGAAUGACAAUAAGGCCCAACAUGGAAGCCAAGGGAUGUUAAUAAAGUCAUCUGCGGGACAAGACUAGGUGAUGCCUGUAUUGGGUUGAAUAUAUCUCCCCCAAAUUCAUGUCCUUCCCAAAACCUCAGAAUGUGACCUGAUUUGGAAAUCAAGUCUUUGGAGAUGUAGUGUGUUAAGAUGAGGUCACGCUGGAGUAGGAUGGGCCUUCCAUGACUGGUGUCUUGGUAGGAGGAGAAGAAACACAGGGAAAGAGACACACAAGGAGAAGACAAGAGCCAAGUAAAGACAGAGGCAGGGACUGAAGCGAUGCAUCUACCAGCCAGGAAACGCCAAGGACUGCUGGGAGCCACCAGGCAGGCCUAGGACGGGGGCAGGACAGAGCCUCCUGUUGAGCCUGCAGAAAGAGCAUGCCCCUGUCACCUUGAUUUCAGACUUCUGCCCUCCAGAACCAUGACAGAAUAGAUUUCUGUUGUUUAAAGCCACCCAGCUUAUAGUACUUUGUCAUGGCAGCCCAGGAAACUCAUGCGAUGCCUACAGGAAGCUUUGUCCGUCAUUCCACAGAAGGCAGCAUGGCAGAGAACCAGAAGGAAGUCCGAGCCCUGCCUCGCUGGACGUAGCUGGUCCUUCCCAGACACACCACGUGCGCCAUGCCACUCUCUUCCCUGGGGAGCCCUUUCUUUCCUUCUUUACCAGGAAAACGUUGGUGUUCAAUCCAUGUUAAUUCCUGUCCAGCACCCCUUCAAAGCUCAGAUGCCACAUCCUCUGUAACUCUUCUCCAGAUGUCCUCCUCAGAUUCCUGAGAUCCCCUCCCUCCCAGCAUGCUUGGUGAUUCCCAUGCUACGUCCCCCACUGCUGGGCACACUGGGGCUCCCUCAUUUCCCUAGUGCCAGAGCCUGGCAACAGCCUGGCCUGCAGAAGAGCCCAGAUCCAUGAGAAAGUGGGCAAGCAAACUUGCUGUGGACCAGCGGGUCCCUCCCCUCUUGGGAGCGGACCAGACUGGAGGUCAUAAAGUUCCCUACCAGCCCUGACAUUAUAAGAGCCUAGUAGCCCUCUGGGGGAUGACCUUACUGGGCCCUGUAAUAGGACCACCUGGGUUCAAACCCAGUGGACUCUGCCACUCACAAGCUGUGUGUCCCUGGGCAUCACUCUGUAACUCUGCUGCACCUCUUCUGAAAAAUAAGGAUAGUAGUGCCUACCUCGUAGGCCUAUGGAAAGGGGUAAGUGCUUUGACCAGUGCCUGGUACAGAGAAAGAGCCCUUGAAAAGGAGGCUGUUACUAUUCCUCAUCUUGGCUUGGUGUAGCCUCUGCAAGCCCAUCUCAUAGCUGGGGCCUCCUGUUUGAACCACACAGGUAAACAGGGCCAAAGCACCUCCAACCUUGCAUGGAAAAAAGACAGUUCUCAUUUCCAAUAGGUUUAUUUUGCAAUUAACAGAGGGGAAGGGAGCUCUUUCUUACAUUUCCCUUGGAGGAUUCAGAGAUUAAACUUAUACCAUUGAUUAGAAUGUUUUGGCCUAACAGUGCUGGUAUCAUUUUAGUGUAUUCAGAUUCAUUUGAGCUAUAAAAGUGGCGUAAUAAAAUGUUCACUAACUCCUGGAA
rnacentral:antisense_RNA from 1 species